rnacentral:rRNA from 1 species
GGCUCUUUGAAAUUAAUAUAUAAAGAGUCGAGCCUGCCCAGUGAUAAAAUUUAAACGGCCGCGGUACUCUGACCGUGCGAAGGUAGCAUAAUCAUUUGCCCUAUAAUUGAGGGCUUGUAUGAAUGGUUUGACAAGAGCAUAACUGUCUCCUUAAAAUUUUAUAAAAUUUGGUUUUUAGGUGAAGAAACCUAAAUGAAAUUGAAAGACAAGAAGACCCUAUCGAGCUUUAGAUUAAUUGAUUAGAAAAUAUAAUUAAAAUGAUUAAUUUUAAUUAAAAACUUUGGUUGGGGCGACUGAGGAACAUAUAAAGCUUCCUUAAUCAAAAUUAACUAAUAAGUAAUGAUCCAAAAAUUUUGAUUAAGAAAAUUAGUUACCGUAGGGAUAACAGCAUAAUCUUUUUUAAGAGUUCUUAUCGAAAAAAAGGUUUGUGACCUCGAUGUUGGACUAGGAUAUCCUAAAAGAUGCAGAAGUCUUUAAAGGUUGGUCUGUUCGACCAUUAAAAUCCU